AUGACACCCCAGAGCAGCCACGUGUGGAGCCUGGCGUACGCCGGCUUCCUGCGCUCCUGGGCGCUGCGCCGGGGGACUGGGGGGGCGAUCGGACAGGGAGCGAUGACGGGGUGCUCCGGAGACCCCGCGGGGCCCAGGCGCAGGAAGAAACGGGCGGCGGGGGCGAGGGGGCUGAUCCCCCGCAAGGAGAGGCCAAGGCCGGCUCGCGCCACACCCCUCUCCAGGCCAGAGUCGUCCGCGUGCAGCGCGGCGAAGCCCUCAGUUUCCCCUGCCCGGCAGCGGCCCGCUGGGUCCCCAGGCUCACCUGUCCCAGUCCCGGGCGGCUUAGUCCGUCACAGACCGGGGCUCGGGCGGGCGGGGACCAAGGGCCCUAGUCCGGCGGCUGCGGUCGGGGAGGGUGGCCCCGGCCGGCCCGGGGUCGGUAGGGCCAUUCCAGAAAAGGUUUGCCGGGCAGGUCUCCGAGAACAAAGGGCGGGGGGAGGACCCGGCAUGUUUGUGGACUUGUUUGUGACUCAAUCCCUUCUGCACGGCGUUUCAAAGACAGACCUGCAAGCCUUGUCAGGAAGAGAAAGAACUUGGGGGCGGGGGAGGCUGGGGCGCCGCAUUUCCGUCCAGCCGCGCUCGCUCGCGCGGCCCCUGAGCUCCAGGCUUGCGCAGCGGCGUUUCAUUAGAGCCCCGGGCCCGGGCGGCGCGCCAGGAACUUCCCCGCACGCAGCGAGAGCGACGAGCCCCGCCCCGCCCCGGCCCGGCUCCAGGCCUCGCACUGUCAGGCACGAGCGCCGCCACAUAAAAUGGAUCCCGGCCGGCGCGGCGAGGGCGGCAGGUUCCAGAGGCUCCUCCGCGCCGCGCCCGGGCGCACACGCGCGCUCUGACCGCCGACCGCUCCCGGGCCCUGCGGAGCCGCCCCUCUCCCGGCCCUCGCGCAACUGUCAGGCGAAACGGGCCGGCGGAUAUUGGCUCGGCGACACGCCGAGGCUCCUCCCCGAGUCUGGAUCUUUAUAUUUUGGGAGAAUUUCUUUGAACUCAGUUACCAAGCUCGGUGAAGGAGACAAGUUCCCACCGCCGGCUCGGCUGGGCUCGGCUCGCCCAGCCCACCUUCCCGCGGCGGCCGCGAGCCCCGAUCGUAUCCCUCCCUGCCCUCGUGGGGGAGCACGGACCGACUUGCCUGAAGAAAAUGCCAGUGCUGUGGUUGUGACCGUGACAAGAGAACGUGCAGCUGGAGCAGGCAGACGGGGAUGA
rnacentral:lncRNA from 1 species